rnacentral:lncRNA from 1 species
UUUGGUUCCACUCCGCUUCUGCGUGGGGAGUCCCUUGGUAGGGGUGGAAUGCUGGGAUUUCCCACCACCAGGAUCCCUAGCCCAUUUCCUAUACAGACCCUAGGACCCCUAGGCCUGCAGGGACCCAACCACACAAUCCUCCUGGGGACUUAAGGCCAGGAAAGCCCCCAUCUCUCCAUUAAGCUGCUACUGCUGGGAAGACGGGGACCCCAGCUGAGCCCUGGACCCUGGGAAAGUCCUGCCACCCCAAUGGGCCAGCAUCCAGGGGCAUUACUGCUGGCAACAAUAUGGCAGCCCUGGCUGUCCUGGAUCUUGCUUUGAAGACCAGCCUGGCCUUGAACUCACAGAGAUCUGCCUGCCUCUACUUCCUGAGUGCUAGGAUUAAAGGCAUGCACCACCACCGCCUGACCCUCCCUGCUUUUCAUGAUCAACAGGUAUAUGGAACUGUGAAUGAAAUAAAUACUUGUCUCCCCAAGUUGCUUUUGGUCACAGUGUUUCAUCAGAGCAAUAGUAACCCUAACUAAGACACAGACGUUCAUAGAGCUGCCCAGGCUACUAAUGGGAAAGAGUUCCUUGAAGCUUUUUGAUUGAGCUAUGUCUUGACCCAAGUGGUGUUCACAUGAAUUACACCUGCAAUGAAGCAGCUAACAAUUAAACACACAGACACACUCAUAUAGACGCACACAAACCCAGACACACCCAGACAGACUCCCUGCACACACACCACAGCUGUGCAUUACGUAAGACAUUGCCAUUGGGAGAAACCAGGUAACAUAGACUAGACAUAACUCAUUAGAGACUUUCUCUGUACUAGCAUUUUUUUCCACAGGGCCCCCACAUGGCUACCAUCGUCCCAUUUCAGCAGGAAGUAACCUAGAAGAUGCUACGCCCCGUUCCCCAUUAUUGUUUAUUAGGGUAGUGUAAGUCUAGUUAAGAAUGACCUUCUUAUUGUUUAGAGUCGGGAUUGGAAGAAGGUGUUCAAGUUAGACACCUUUUCCACAUGACUUUAAGACUUAUCUGGAAUAGACAUAGGAUGUACCAUGG